rnacentral:rRNA from 1 species
UACGUAGGGGGCAAGCGUUGUCCGGAAUCAUUGGGCGUAAAGCGCGUGUAGGCGGCUGGGUAAGUCCGCUCUGAAAGCCCGGGGCUCAACCCCGGGAGGCGGGUGGAUACUGUCUAGCUCGAGUCCGGAAGAGGAGUGUGGAAUUCCUGGUGUAGCGGUGAAAUGCGCAGAUAUCAGGAGGAACACCAAUGGCGAAGGCAGCACUCUGGGACGUGACUGACGCUGAGACGCGAAAGCGUGGGGG